GCUUAUUUAGUUUUAAAGAAUAAAGAUUUGUAAGAUCUGAGGUUUAUUUUAAGUA
rnacentral:tRNA from 1 species